UCUAAUAAAGUUUGAUCUAUGUUGUUUGCUUAUAGAACGUACUUCUGUACUGAUUAGGUAAAUGGAGAGGAAGAAAUUGGAGUUCGGGUUCAUGUAAGAGUGCAAAAGAGCAAGAUGUUAACUGUGUACGAGAGAGUCAAGAAGAGGCGGUGAGUAGAAGGAGGUUCUUUGCAGGCUAGACAAGGUUGAAAAUGGUUUUUUUUUUUCUCUCCCUAUUUUCCUUCAAAACUUUUUGUUCACUUAUUCUCCUUGAAUUUUAUGUUCAAAGUAGUUAAAUUUUCGUCCAAAAUGUUUUAUUUGUGUUUCUUGAUUUGAAUGAAAGUUUGGUAUUUCAUCCUU